UGGGGAAUAUUGGACAAUGGGCGAAAGCCUGAUCCAGCCAUGCCGCGUGUGUGAAGAAGGUCUUCGGAUUGUAAAGCACUUUAAGUUGGGAGGAAGGGCAGUAAGCGAAUACCUUGCUGUUUUGACGUUACCGACAGAAUAAGCACCGGCUAACUCUGUGCCAGCAGCCGCGGUAAUACAGAGGGUGCAAGCGUUAAUCGGAAUUACUGGGCGUAAAGCGCGCGUAGGUGGUUCGUUAAGUUGAAUGUGAAAGCCCCGGGCUCAACCUGGGAACUGCAUCCAAAACUGGCGAGCUAGAGUAGGGCAGAGGGUGGUGGAAUUUCCUGUGUAGCGGUGAAAUGCGUAGAUAUAGGAAGGAACACCAGUGGCGAAGGCGACCACCUGGGAUCAUACUGACACUGAGGUGCGAAAGCGUGAGGAGCAAACAGG
rnacentral:rRNA from 1 species